rfam:Brassica napus, WGS project CCCW01000000 data, contig: 1115
AGAAUAUAAGAAUCCGUCUCUUAACUUUUAAGUAAAAAAACUAAGAACCGGCUCUUAAAUAAGAGAUUUAAGAACCGGUUCUUAACUUUUUUAGUUAAAAAUUAAGAGACGGAUUUUUAUAUUCC